rnacentral:rRNA from 1 species
GAUGAACGCUGGCGGCGUGCCUAAUACAUGCAAGUCGAGCGAACAGACGAGGAGCUUGCUCCUCUGACGUUAGCGGCGGACGGGUGAGUAACACGUGGAUAACCUACCUAUAAGACUGGAUAACUUCGGGAAACCGGAGCUAAUACCGGAUAAUAUUUUUAACCCCCUGGUUCAAUAGUGAAAGACCGUUUUGCUUUUACUUAUAGAUGGAUCCGCGCCGCAUUAGCUAGUUGGUAAGGUAACGGCUUACCAAGGCAACGAUGCGUAGCCGACCUGAGAGGGUGAUCGGCCACACUGGAACUGAGACACGGUCCAGACUCCUACGGGAGGCAGCAGUAGGGAAUCUUCCGCAAUGGGCGAAAGCCUGACGGAGCAACGCCGCGUGAGUGAUGAAGGUCUUCGGAUCGUAAAACUCUGUUAUUAGGGAAGAACAAAUGUGUAAGUAACUAUGCACGUCUUGACGAUACCUAAUCAGAAAGCCACGGCUAACUACGUG